rnacentral:rRNA from 1 species
GACGAACGCUGGCGGCGUGCUUAACACAUGCAAGUCGAACGGAAAGGCCCUGCUUUUGUGGGGUGCUCGAGUGGCGAACGGGUGAGUAACACGUGAGUAACCUGCCCUUGACUUUGGGAUAACUUCAGGAAACUGGGGCUAAUACCGGAUAGGAGCUCUUGCUGCAUGGUGGGGGUUGGAAAGUUUCGGCGGUUGGGGAUGGACUCGCGGCUUAUCAGCUUGUUGGUGGGGUAGUGGCUUACCAAGGCUUUGACGGGUAGCCGGCCUGAGAGGGUGACCGGCCACAUUGGGACUGAGAUACGGCCCAGAGUCCUACGGGAGGCAGCAGUGGGGAAUAUUGCACAAUGGGCGGAAGCCUGAUGCAGCAACGCCGCGUGCGGGAUGACGGCCUUCGGGUUGUAAACCGCUUUCGCCUGUGACGAAGCGUGAGUGACGGUAAUGGGUAAAGAAGCACCGGCUAACUACGUG